GAUGAACGCUGGCGGCGUGCCUAAUACAUACAAGUCGAACGAAACUUCUUUAUCACCGAGUGCUUGCACUCACCGAUAAAGAGUUGAGUGGCGAACGGGUGAGUAACACGUGGGCAACCUGCCCAAAAGAGGGGGAUAACACUUGGAAACAGGUGCUAAUACCGCAUAACCAUAGUUACCGCAUGGUAACUAUGUAAAAGGUGGCUAUACUACCGCUUUUGGAUGGGCCCGCGGCGCAUUAGCUAGUUGGUAGGGUAAAGGCUUACCAAGGCAAUGAUGCGUAGCCGAAUUGAGAGGUUGAUCGGCCACAUUGGGACUGAGACACGGCCCAAACUCCUACGGGAGGCAGCAGUAGGGAAUCUUCCACAAUGGGCGAAAGCCUGAUGGAGCAACGCCGCGUGGGUGAAGAAGGUCUUCGGAUCGUAAAACCCUGUUGUUAGAGAAGAAAGUGCGUGAGAGUAACUGUUCACGUUUCGACGGUAUCUAACCAGAAAGCCACGGCUAACUACGUG
rnacentral:rRNA from 1 species